rfam:Triticum aestivum genome assembly, contig: Triticum_aestivum_CS42_TGACv1_scaffold_050326_1BS
UUCAUACUCCCUCCGUCCGGAAAUACUCGUCGGAGGAAUGAAUGUAUCUAGAUGUAUUUUAGUUCUAAAUACAUUCAUUUUUAUGCAUCUUUUCGGCAAGUAUUUCCGGACGGAGGGAGUACAUU